GGUAUGGGAUGAGCUUGCGUCCGAUUAGCUAGUUGGCGGGGCAACGGCCCACCAAGGCGACGAUCGGUAGCCGGCCUGAGAGGGUGAUCGGCCACAUUGGGACUGAGAUACGGCCCAGACUCCUACGGGAGGCAGCAGUAGGGAAUAUUGCACAAUGGGGGAAACCCUGAUGCAGCAACGCCACGUGUGGGAAGAAGCAUUUCGGUGUGUAAACCAUUGUCGUGAGGGAAUAAUGUUGGCUUUCGGGCCAAUUGAAUGUACCUUGAAAGGAAGCACCGGCAAACUUCGUGCCAGCAGCCGCGGUAAUACGAGGGGUGCAAGCGUUGUUCGGAAUUACUGGGCGUAAAGGGAGCGUAGGCGGAGAUUCAAGCGGAUUGUACAAUCCCGGGGCCCAACCCCGGCUCUGCAGUCCGAACUGGAUCUCUUGGAUAGUUCAGGGGCAGGC
rnacentral:rRNA from 1 species